CCAUAGUGACAGACUCACAAGGGAAGAAUUGUCCUAACUAGGACUUGACUUAGCAUUUGAUGAAAGCAAUUUCAGCUAAUAAGCUUGAAUAAUAGCCUAUGGACUGAGCCCUGAAAUCAAUGGUUCACGGCCUUUAUGUACAUUGAGUCACCCAGAAAUGAUUUUGGAAAUUAUCUCUAUCUAUAUUCUACCUGCACAACAUAUCAUUUCAUCACUCUGGCGUGAAGCCUGGACUAGGAGCUUCACAGUGACCCCAUUUCUGUUCAGUUCCUAGAGCUGCUGCCACAUGGACAUAAAAUAGGCAGCUGAAAAGAAGGAAUUUAUUCACUCAGUUCUAGCAGUCAGACCUCUGAAGUCAAGCUGGUGACAUGGUGACACUCUCUGGAGGCAACAGAACAGAGUCCUCCAUUGUUUUCAGGUUCUAGAACCUGGGAGUCCUUGGCUUGUAGCCACACCCUUCCAGUCUCCUUUCUCCCUCUAUGUUGGCAGCAUCUUCUCAGUGUGUGGUCUCCUUUGUGUGUUUCUGAGAAGGAGCAUCACUGGACUUAGGGCCCAUUGGAAAUUCCGGGAAUAUUAUAUUUGAAGAACUUAACGGCGUCUAGACAGAGAAGUUUUCAAUGAUUCUGGAGGCUGGGACGUCCAAGAUUACAUGCCCACAUGUGGAAAUGCCUGAAGAGAGUUGUUCUGUUUCCAUGAUGGCACCUUGCUGCUGUCUUCUCACACGGCAGAAGGAAGAAUGGCAAGAGAGAUUUCCCAUCAUGCUCCAGCCUUUCUAAAGGGUGAUAAAGGCAUUUGAGAGCAUGAGACUUGCAUGACUACACCAUCUCCCGUGUACUGAUGUACGCAUGAGGAAGUCUGCACUCGGGGAAGCUGAGCAAACACAGUGGUGGUGACGUCAUGGUGGUGCAGACCUCUGGACAUGGUGUGAUGGCAAGAGUAUGGCUCCCAUGUGUUUUCCCACAUUAAACCCGUGACCUCAAUCUAAUCAUGGGAACCACUGCCAAGAAGAGCUCAAGGAGAUGUCAUGGUCAUGUACUUUGGUAUCUUGGAAGGAAUCUAGAAACAAGAAAGUAACACUAGAUAAAAAAGCAAGACAAAACAAAACAAAAAACUGGAAAUGGGUCCAGACUCCAGGUAAUAAUGAGCCGAUAUUGGCUCAUCAAUCAUGACAAUAGCGUAAAUGAUGCUAAGGAAAACUAGGUUGGUAGCAUAUGGAUUUGGAGUCUAUAUACAAUAUUCACAUUUUUUUCUGCAAAUCUGAAAAUGAAAAUUAACUCUGUAAGAAAAAAAUUAUUGAAGACAAUCUCUGUCUAAGAAUCUCAUCAAAUAAAAGUGCGGUGAAUAAAAAUGACAGGAACAGGGAGGGCUUAGAUAUUAACUUGAACUAAUUAAUGGCUUUAUCUACCUCCUCAAAUCCAUUCAUCCAGGCUCAGAUUGAGUGUAUACCUGUCAUUUCCUGGGUCAUUUCAGAGGAAAUGAGGCCAUUAUGGUGAAAAAAAAAAAAAAAAAGGCAUAAUCCCUACUCUAGAGAACCAGCUGAGUAGAGAAGCAUCAUUAAAGUAACUAUGUGAAGAAAUGUAGAAUUCCUUAGGGGGUUGGUGUGCUGAAGGAGAGGUGUGCACUCCGUGUACACAUAGGAGGAGCACUUGAAUCCAUCAGAGAGAUGCUAAGAAAGCCAUGUCUAACAAAGUCACACCCCAGUGUUAACACUCCAGCCCCUGUGAGAGGGCAGAGGGCACGGGAGCAGCCACUGGUGACAUCUCAGCUUCAUUUUGUCCAUUGUCAGCCUGACCAGAUCGGCUAUUUUACAAACCAUUUCCGUUCCGUUGAGUUUCUGAUUAUUGUCAUCUUGUAGGCAGCUGCUUCUCACUUGAAGUGUGGGGACAAGUGAGAUUUGAGCAAGGUCUGGAGACUUCCUCACAGUUCCACGUGAGAGACAUUUUGUUUUAGGGUUUUACAAUGUAAUUUCCAAUGUAUUUUUCCUCAGUCUUUUCUGCCAUUAACGAUUUCUCCUUUGAUAAAACAAGAACAUUUGCUUGUUUCUUGAGAAAUAAGAAUUAUCCCAUGGUGACAUUCCUUGCAUUUGGUGACUGGGAUGGAUGUCUCCUCGAAUCCUCCAGACAUUGUUAAGAACAAAAGGCCUUUAACCUCUUCCUUUUGCUCAUUAUGUAAAUUCUAUUUUUCAGCUUUUUUCUGCCCCCUCCCACCCCAGCAUUCACUUCCUUUCCCCUUUAUUUUCCUGAGUAUUUUUUUCUUUCAUCUCCUCCCCAGGACAGAUGCUUUUGUUCAUACUCAUUUGGGGUUGCAGGGGAAUAUACUAAGCCCAUUUAUGUAUUUACCUUUAUAUCUAUUUUGAAUGUGGCAAAGGACGAGGAAAUAAAAGGAGCGGGCUGGGUCUCUCUCCUGCAUAAUGGCAGGAGCUUCCGGGAAUGGCAGAGUCUUUGCUGAGCAUUAAGUGGUAAUCUGGUUGCAUUGUGAGAGAUAGCCGAAGAGGCAAUGUUCUAAUCUUUUCUGAGUAACAGCAGCUCAAGUAAAUUAAUUACAGCUUAGGAAAUCAACACACUCUCCCAACACAUAGGCACAGUUUUCCUACAGACACAAUGAGACAGCGCUAGCCCAGAAAUCAAAUAAUCCCCAUAGCCGCUGCUGACCUUUGCCCUUAUUUCCAUUCCUGCUUAAUGUUUUAUGCAGCAGGAACUAAGUAGGUGAAUGUCAGAGAACCGGCUGUGAUUAUUUUUAGUUUAAACAACAGUGCCCGUCCAAGAUAAAUGCAUGGGUGAGAUAAAUUUUACCCCCGAGAGCUGCUCAUCUUUCUCGCCUCUGCCAUUGUCUCUGCGCUGGCCCCACACAUGGCUCCUGAACGGCUAAGUUACAUCAUCACAUUAAAUGAGGAUAGGCACACUUCAAAGGUUCAGAGCCAAGAUGCACCUGGACUUUUAGAUUCAGACUUGAAAGCGAGCUCACAUUAAGUGAUCCGUGAAGUCGUGUUGGAGCCAGCUAAUACCGUUGUCAGAGUUCUCUGAAUAGUUUUUAAAUGAGACAAAUUGAAUGCAGGACUUCAAGGCUUCCACAUUAUUCCCUCUAAAUUGAUGCCGUGAAAGAGAAAAACGAUUGAAAGUUUUACCAAAAUUGAAUAUUAAAAAGGGUCCCUGUACCAGUCCUCACGGCCAGUCAUGUAACAAGCUGUGUUCAUUAUAGUCAUCAAUAUAGUCAUUAAACAAGAAAAUAUGUGUAAGUUGUAGUUUGGGGCCCAUUAAAACAAUACUAUUUAUCAA